GGGGACCUGGUAGCGGGGUGAGGGGUAUGGCACAAAAUGUCACAGGAAAACAGCACCGUCACAGAGAACAUAUGGACACCACUGCAACAUCAGCACAGGGUCUACUCCAACCGAGAACGAAAACCGGAUUAAACCUGCUUUUGGAUCUUUGACUUGUUUUUGGUCAUGCCGGAUUUAUCAAGGAAACAGUCUUGGCAUAACCGGCAGGAUCAGAUGACACAGGCAGACUCCUCACUGGCAGCAGCAUUUUGUAACACCAAGCCAGUGCUGUGUUUAUCGUCCUGGAGCGUUGGGGGAGACGUCCUGUCCUGUCCUGUCCUGUCCUGUCCUGUACUGGAUCGGCACAAAAGGCCAAGAGAAAGAACGAGCUUUGAGGAAUAUUAAGAUUAGAAUGACAAAUUGGGCCAAAUCAAAAAUAGACUAAAUGAGACAUAAAAAUGCAACUACAGCAGGGUGUGUCUUUCUCUCACCCCCACCCCCCCACUGCGAGUAAGCGUCCAGGCAAAGUGUUUCAUGGUUAGAGGAGGUGUAGAGGGAUUAGCGUGCAAGACGGACAGUAAAGGUGUUGGGCGGAGCAACGCUGCGAGUGUGAAUCUGAUGUUUGAAGCUGACGGGGGGGUAGAAAGCAGAAUAGCAGGGUGUCACAGAGGAACUGCCAGCGAGGGAGAAGGCAGAUCUGCAGAUGAGAGAUACGCAAAUGUGUCGUCAAACCUACAGAUACCUCUGCUGUAAUUUCACAUACUUGAUGGUGUCGGUAAACACAAGAAAUCAGGGAAAAUGCAAAAAGAGGCUGCACGAUGCAGAUAAACUAAAACAAAAGAAAAACAUUGUUAUUCCAGACAUGCAGAUUUUGGAUUAUUUCUCAAAAGCAGAAGCUGACAGAGCUGGAAAUUCAAACUUGCACGAGCACGUCUACGACACUCGAAUACGCAGCGACGUCGACUCGCGAGUCACGCCCCAGACGAGCUCAAACCUCAGCUCAGAUGCACCGCCCCCCCUGCCCCCCCUGCCCCUCCGCCCUUCCUCCUUUCACUCCCUGUUCCUCUUGUUUACAGGAAGCAGCUGAAAGGAUAUCACCAUCAUGUCAGACCCGUCGAGUCUCACUCAUCUUAUCUAUGUUUUCUUAGGUUCACCGCGUCCACAGCAGCACCUGCUCCUGCACAGACGACGGCAUGAGAGCCAGACUAAAGCAGCCAAACGUCACAGUACAGCAUGGGGCCUCUUAAACAAAUUCUAUUGUGACAGUUGAUCUUUUUUUUAUAUUUGUUUUUGUUUUGCCAAAUUCAGCUCAGAUGAACAAAGUUAAACUGGAGUUACAUGAAAGUCCCCGCUGGCUCGCAGAAGGCCUCAGCCCUGCCGUGUUAAGAGAAAACCUGUUUCCAGUGGCAACAGCUCAGAGAUGCAGCAGAUCACGCUGACGCUGCUGUCACUGUGGACACGACAAACAUCACAGAGUCAAAUCAAAGCUGCCGACUUCCUCUGGAUUUUCCUGAUGCCGUCAGGUGAAAAAACCUUGCAGCUAAAAUCACAACUACUUCCAGAAAGAUUUUAUGAGUAUUCCUCUGAAGCUGCGGCUGUUUCACCUCACCGCAUCAGUCCUUUGGUUAUCUUCACUGCCAUCUUUAAUUUUAAGUUUAGCCUAAAUGUCUGCCGCUGCACACGUGUGUCUAGUUAAAGUCGGCUCGUUCAUUGUUCAGCAUGACACCGCAAACACGGCGGGUUUCUGUGCCUGGUACAACAUGACCCACCCAGUAAGAGGCCCAGACCUGAACAGAAACUGCCCCCCUUUCUCUGAAGUCCCAUUAAAAGACUUGUUGCCAAAUUGUUGAGGAUUGAAAAUAGUUAAUCUCUGCGUGUGCUGGUUGUAUUUUAAACGUGUAUGAUGAGGGGGAAAAAAAAGAGGUCAGGUUUUUACACACACACACACACACACACACACACACACACACACACACACACACGUGUUAGGGGAAAAUACAAGCUUGGCCUGGUGUACUAAUCGAGCACUAACAUCAGCUAAGCUACUGGAGCAAGGCAGCAGUGCAAGUUGUGGGAGAGUCUCAGCAGCACGACGAGAACCUGGACCCUGGAUCCUGGAUCCUGGAUCCUGGAUCCUGCACCAACAUGACGCCCAGCCCGCCUUAAUGCACAGCCAGAGGCCUGCUGCUGAUUCAGGGUCUCUCUCCAAUGAGACCGAAACAACACACACAACAACCUUGGACUACCUGAAUCACCUCUGACCAGAAUGACAUCAAACAGGAAACGUGAAUGAAGAGAAGGUCAGAAAUCAUCCUGAACGAGGAGAAGCAGGUCUGACAGCCCGCAGACUGGCCUGGAAGAAGUCGCCCUCCAGCUGAAGCUAAUCAAUGUCAUGUUGUUCAUUAGAAAAUGGAGAGAAUCUGUGUUGUGAGCAUUACUGACGGAAAGCUGUUUGAGAUUUAUUUCUGUCUUGUGUGUUCGUUAUUAAAAUGCCUAAACGAUUAAAACGGUCUCAGCCAAGUCAGGCCAAACUGAACACAGCAGCGUUUUUGUGCCCUCGCUAAUCCUUCUCCGUGUUGUCCGUCCACUGUGAGAACUUUCCUUUCUUUGCAGACGAGCUGUGUGAUGUUUUGCUUCUCUGUUCGUGUCUCUAAAAUGCAGACUGGACCUUAGACAGAAAGGACCGGAAUAAAAGACGCUUGGUUGUGUGUCUAUUUGACAGUCUGGAUGUUGUCUUUCUUUUAAAGAUUUUAUUUAGUCCUGAGCACCGUGUACAUUCACUGUGAACCACAAAGACACUCAGGAGGAAAUAAAACAGAAAGGACUUUGGAGCGAGACGAUCUCGCUGUCGCAGAACGCCUCCACAGUCCACACAAAAUCUCGUCUCUGACUGCCACAUCAUUUAUGACUGUAGUCAAUUUGUAAUUCAAGACCCGCACGAACGCUACAAUAAAUGUUACAAGAACGCUA